rnacentral:rRNA from 1 species
AUUGAACGCUGGCGGCAUGCCUUACACAUGCAAGUCGAACGGCAGCACGGGUGCUUGCACCUGGUGGCGAGUGGCGAACGGGUGAGUAAUACAUCGGAACAUGUCCUGUAGUGGGGGAUAGCCCGGCGAAAGCCGGAUUAAUACCGCAUACGAUCUACGGAUGAAAGCGGGGGACCUUCGGGCCUCGCGCUAUAGGGUUGGCCGAUGGCUGAUUAGCUAGUUGGUGGGGUAAAGGCCUACCAAGGCGACUAUCAGUAGCUGGUCUGAGAGGACGACCAGCCACACUGGGACUGAGACACGGCCCAGACUCCUACGGGAGGCAGCAGUGGGGAAUUUUGGACAAUGGGCGAAAGCCUGAUCCAGCAAUGCCGCGUGUGUGAAGAAGGCCUUCGGGUUGUAAAGCACUUUUGUCCGGAAAGAAAUCCUUGGCCCUAAUACGGUCGGGGGAUGACGGUACCGGAAGAAUAAGCACCGGCUAACUACGUG